rnacentral:sRNA from 17 species
UUUUGGGACUAUUCUAAACAACAUAGCAAGUUAAAAUAAGGUUUUAACCGUAAUCAACUGUAAAGUGGCGCUGUUUCGGCGCUUUUUUU